GGUGCAAGUGACGAUAAAACAGACAGGGACAUCAGAAAUCCAAUGGAAUAUGAUGAUUUGUCGAUGGGAAUCUCUCUGAUGCACU